rnacentral:rRNA from 1 species
GACGAACGCUGGCGGCGUGCUUAACACAUGCAAGUCGAACGGAAAGGCCCUGCUUUUGUGGGGUGCUCGAGUGGCGAACGGGUGAGUAACACGUGAGUAACCUGCCCUUGACUUUGGGAUAACUUCAGGAAACUGGGGCUAAUACCGGAUAGGAGCUCCGGCUGCAUGGUGGGGGUUGGAAAGUUUCGUCGGUUGGGGAUGGACUCGCGGCUUAUCAGCUUGUUGGUGGGGUAGUGGCUUACCAAGGCGUUGACGGGUAGCCGGCCUGAGAGGGUGACCGGCCACACGGGGAAUGAGGCACGGCCCAGACUCAUACGGGGGGCAGCAGUGGGGGAGAGUGCACAAGGGGCGAAAGCAUGAUGCAGCAACGCCGCGUGAGGGACGACGGCCGACGGGAUGGAAACCUAAUGUAGCAGGGAAGAAGCGAAAGUGACGGAAGCUGCAGAAAAAGCGCGGACUAGCUAGGUG